rnacentral:rRNA from 1 species
GACGAACGCUGGCGGCGUGCUUAACACAUGCAAGUCGAACGGAAAGGCCCUGCUUUUGUGGGGUGCUCGAGUGGCGAACGGGUGAGUAACACGUGAGUAACCUGCCCUUGACUUUGGGAUAACUUCAGGAAACUGGGGCUAAUACCGGAUAGGAGCUCCUGCUGCAUGGUGGGGGUUGGAAAGUUUCGGCGGUUGGGGAUGGACUCGCGGCUUAUCAUCUUGUUGGUGGGGUGUUGGCUUACCAAGGCUUUGACGGGUAGCCGGCCUGAGAGGGUGACCGGCCACAUUGGGACUGAGAUACGGCCCAGACUCCUACGGGAGGCAGCAGUGGGGAAUAUUGCACAAUGGGCGGAAGCCUGAUGCAGCAACGCCGCGUGCGGGAUGACGGCCUUCGGGUUGUAAACCGCUUUCGCCUGUGACGAAGCGUGAGUGACGGUAAUGGGUAAAGAAGCACCGGCUAACUACGUG